AAAUUCAAUUUUACUGUACAAAGUGUUUAUAAAAAAUCUAAAACUUCACAGUUAUCAAAUAUCGAUGUUACAGUUAGCACACCAGUAUUGUAUUACUAUAUCCUACUCUAUUAGUUGGCUUUUUCUUUAGAUAUGUCGGUGUGUCUCUUAUAAUAGUGAAAAAUUGCGUUAAGUAUCAACUUUAGAUAAUAGAAGAAUUUACUUAAUAAUAAUAAUACGAAAUAAAGCCAUACGCCGCCCUGGUACAACGUCUAUGGGUCUUCUAGUAUGUAUCUGUUUCUUCCGGCAAUGACGGCUGACUCAUCGUCGCUGAUGCGUCCGAGCGGCGUUCGAAAAGCCUGGAAGCGGAAGUCGCGAUGGGUAUUCGAGAAAGAUCUCGAUCGCAGAAGUAUGGGUUUAAAUAGAGACCAUCUUCGGGAACGAUGAUUAUUAUUCAGUCGAACCGAGUCCAGCAAAUGUUAAGAUGGGCCAGUCGAGUUGUGCCAGAAUUAGUUUGUAUAUAUUCACUGUGCAGUUAGUCGUGUAAAUUUGACUUACUAAGAAAUAAAUUGUUGAGUUUUAGCCACGCCGAUUUUAUUUGCCCAUUCAACGUAACAAUAAUAUGGUCUGGGGUCAUUUAGAUAGAACUUCGCUAGCUCCUGAAAUAUACAGUUGAACAAAUACAGCUUCUUCGAAAAAAAAUGCUAUUUUUUUUAUGAUAAUCUAUACCGGGUGUCUGGAAAAUGGCGGACUAACUCUCCGCUACGCUUUUAACAAUCAACUGGCCUGCAUGGAGGAAUCUCAAAUUGAAUUAAAAAACAUUGCUCUCGCCUAUAUACAAUUUAAAAAAACCCUUGGACCGAACUAUAAAACUCUUCGCAAAAAGUGUUACCUUUUUGCGAAAACUAGGGAGUGGGACCCCCAAAAAAACGAACACCUGAGGUUAUUGUGGAUGCUAAAGAAAUAAUGGAAGAAACACAAAAACGUCAAUUCGUCAGGUAACAUCAGCAAUUUAAUAUUUCGGUUGGAACUAUCUUUACCGUAUCACAGCAGUGGACUUCCUAAGAAGAUGAGAAUUUUGUAAUUGAACGGAUUCUUUCAACAAAAUGAAGCUCCGGUUCAUUGUACAAUGGACAACUUAAAUUUCUUAAGAAACUUCUUUGAUGACCGCAUAAUUAGUCGAAGUAGAGAAAUUCCUUGGCCACCUCGUUCCUGUGAUUUCACAACUUGUCAUUUUUUCUUGUGGCCUCAUUAUAAAGACACGAAGAAUUGAACAAAAAUAUCUGGAGAUUAAUAACAAUCCCAUUAUGUUAGAAAAUGUUUUCAAAAAUUUUGGGAGAAGGGUUUUACG